AAGCAAACAAACAAACAAACAAAACUAUACUGGGCGUGCCUGCCUAUCAGACACCCAAUCUUGCAAGACCACCAUUAAAAGUCUCACUUUUGCUGUUCUCCGAGUCUCUGAAUCCAUUCUUUGGGUUUGGAAGGGUGAGUUUGUUUUUCACAAUCUGGUGGCCAUACGGGGAUCUCUGUGCCUGCAUGGAGAGGGGAGACGUGCCCCACUUGAUUUAUGUGGCCCGCUCUGUCUGGAUGUCCCGGCUCCCCACAGAAGCCACAGACAAACCGGAGACCAUGAUUCAGGAGAUAACAAAAGUGACACAGGAAGAAAAGCAGGCACCGCGGCAACCAGACAACCUCGUGCACGAACCACGGUGGGAAAAUGGGACUGUCACCACUUCCAGCCUGGCGACUUGGUGCUAAUUAAGACUUGGAAGGAAGACAAUCUCCACCCAAGCUGGGAAGGUUCCUAUCAAGUGCUCGUGAUCACUGAGACAGCCGUAGGAACAGCUGAACGGGGUGGACACUCACACUCGGGUCAAGAGACUGGUAAAAGAAACCCCAGAAGGAAGGGAAAAAGAGGAGAAGCCAGUUGCCAUAUUGUGAGGAUGCUCAAGCAACCUUAUGAAGAGGUCUACAUGGUGAAGAACUAAGGCCUACUAUCAAAAACAAACACUAAUUUGCCAGACAUAUAAUCAGCUUCUGAUAACUGUAGAGAAAAGUAUGGGCAGAAAGGAGAAAGUAAGCCAAGAGGGGAGCUGGAAGUCAGGACCUACUGCCUUGGAAAGCCAUCGUGCUGUGAGGACUCUUCAUCAUUCCUCAAGGUACUUCUGCUUCCUUCCCUUACCUCCCACUACCUCCUAGGCACUCCACUGAACCUGCCCACCUCCACUCCUGCCAUCUCUGCCCACCUCUACUCCAAGCAUCUGGGCAUCCACACUCAGUUCACGUCAGAUCUGGGUGUAAUGAGUUUGAAGUCAGUUUUCAAAGUUGUAUUAAUAGAAUCUUUCUUUGGCCACCCAGGUUUUGGAGAAUUUGGUCAUCCUUCCACUUUAUGGACUGUGAAUUAUCUUGUGACCAAUGAUUUCCUCUUCUUCCCACCUAGGUGUUACUUCACUUACCAACAAUUCCCCAAUUCCCCAAAGUGGAAGGAAGGAGACAAACUUGUACCUUUGACUCAUUUUUCAGAAACUAUGGUGUAAAGGUCUCUGGGAAACUGGGUGAAACUAAAGGGCCAUAUGAUAUUGUUUUCAUUUAUUUUUAUUUUUUAACCUGGAAAAUGUGAAAUGUGUAGAUGCAAUGCCAUAUGAUGUUGAGGAAUUAUUUGUUUUAAAUUAUCUUUCCUCCUUUAUGUCCUGGGCAAAUAUUAAUUAGUUGGUUAUUUGUAACCAUCAGAAAGGAUCCUACUGAUGGCAUGACUCCUUUGCCAAACUUCUUAUCAAAAAUAAGGACUCUGGAACGUUAUGAAAAUAAGAGGUCUAUGGCCAUACCACCCUGAAAACACGCAAUCUUGUCUGAUCUUGGAAGCUAAGCAGGGUUGUGCCUGGUUAGUAUUUGGGUGGGCUAUAGGCUUCUGGCAUCCCAUUC
rnacentral:lncRNA from 10 species